rnacentral:lncRNA from 1 species
CGAGAAGGCCCUUUGGUCCUACACUGUGAAUGAGUAAGGGGCAGCUGCAAAAUGCUAAGAAUGCUGAGUGCAUUAAGUGAAGUGUUUCUCCCAGGUGUGCACAGGGUGUGGCUUCCAAGGGGAAUGUGGAUGCUGGAAUGAGGGAGGCAGCCACCUAGGCCGGUCAAGUCAGAGGCCCAGCAAGGAGAAAGCGAGCCAAGGCAAACGCCGACAGAAGAGAACGAUAAAUCCGCGGCGCACUCGGCAGAACGUACACCGCACCGCAUAAUUUAGCGGGGCAAUGCCGCCGGGAGUCCACGCCAAGUUAAUGGAAUAUUUCCUGUCUGGGGACUGUGCAACCCCCUGGUCUCCCAAUGCCUCAGUUACUGACGCUGCAAACAAGGCAGAUUGUCCCAGAGAUUAGAGCUCUCAGGCUUUCUCGGGCUUCAAUCAAUCAAAGGAACGUAAGGACCCCUCCCCUACAGAGAGAGCCGGA